UUAAGUUAUUAAGGGCGCACGGUGGAUGCCUUGGCACUAGAAGCCGAAGAAGGACGUUACUAACGACGAUAUGCUUUGGGUAGCUGUAAGUAAGCGUUGAUCCAGAGAUUUCCGAAUGGGGGAACCCAACAUGAGUUAUGUCAUGUUAUCGACAUGUGAAUUCAUAGCAUGUCAGAAGGCAGACCCGGAGAACUGAAACAUCUUAGUACCCGGAGGAAGAGAAAGAAAAAUCGAUUCCCUGAGUAGCGGCGAGCGAAACGGGAAGAGCCCAAACCAACAAGCUUGCUUGUUGGGGUUGUAGGACACUCUAUACGGAGUUACAAAAGAACAUGUUAGACGAAUCAUCUGGAAAGAUGAAUCAAAGAAGGUAAUAAUCCUGUAGUCGAAAACAUAUUCUCUCUUGAGUGGAUCCUGAGUACGACGGAGCACGUGAAAUUCCGUCGGAAUCUAGGAGGACCAUCUCCUAAGGCUAAAUACUCUCUAGUGACCGAUAGUGAACCAGUACCGUGAGGGAAAGGUGAAAAGUACCCCGGAAGGGGAGUGAAAGAGAACUUGAAACCGUGUGCUUACAAGUAGUCAGAGCCCGUUUAUGGGUGAUGGCGUGCCUUUUGUAGAAUGAACCGGCGAGUUACGAUCUGAUGCAAGGUUAAGCAGCGAAUGUGGAGCCGUAGCGAAAGCGAGUCUGAAUAGGGCGUUGAGUAUUUGGUCGUAGACCCGAAACCAGGUGAUCUACCCUUGGUCAGGUUGAAGUUCAGGUAACACUGAAUGGAGGACCGAACCGACUUACGUUGAAAAGUGAGCGGAUGAACUGAGGGUAGCGGAGAAAUUCCAAUCGAACUUGGAGAUAGCUGGUUCUCUCCGAAAUAGCUUUAGGGCUAGCCUCAAGUGAUGAUUAUUGGAGGUAGAGCACUGUUUGGACGAGGGGCCCCUCUCGGGUUACCGAAUUCAGACAAACUCCGAAUGCCAAUCAAUUUAACUUGGGAGUCAGAACAUGGGUGAUAAGGUCCGUGUUCGAAAGGGAAACAGCCCAGACCACCAGCUAAGGUCCCAAAAUAUAUGUUAAGUGGAAAAGGAUGUGGCGUUGCCCAGACAACUAGGAUGUUGGCUUAGAAGCAGCCAUCAUUUAAAGAGUGCGUAAUAGCUCACUAGUCGAGUGACACUGCGCCGAAAAUGUACCGGGGCUAAACAUAUUACCGAAGCUGUGGAUUGUCCUUCGGACAAUGGUAGGAGAGCGUUCUAAGGGCGUUGAAGCAUGAUCGCAAGGACAUGUGGAGCGCUUAGAAGUGAGAAUGCCGGUGUGAGUAGCGAAAGACGGGUGAGAAUCCCGUCCACCGAUUGACUAAGGUUUCCAGAGGAAGGCUCGUCCGCUCUGGGUUAGUCGGGUCCUAAGCUGAGGCCGACAGGCGUAGGCGAUGGAUAACAGGUUGAUAUUCCUGUACCACCUAGUAUCGUUUUAAUCGAUGGGGGGACGCAGUAGGAUAGGCGAAGCGUGCUGUUGGAGUGCACGUCCAAGCAGUAAGGCUGAGUGUUAGGCAAAUCCGGCACUCGUUAGGCUGAGCUGUGAUGGGGAGAGGAAAUUGUUUCCUCGAGUCGUUGAUUUCACACUGCCGAGAAAAGCCUCUAGAUAGAUAACAGGUGCCCGUACCGCAAACCGACACAGGUAGUCAAGAUGAGAAUUCUAAGGUGAGCGAGCGAACUCUCGUUAAGGAACUCGGCAAAAUGACCCCGUAACUUCGGGAGAAGGGGUGCUCUUUAGGGUUCACGCCCAGAAGAGCCGCAGUGAAUAGGCCCAAGCGACUGUUUAUCAAAAACACAGGUCUCUGCUAAACCGUAAGGUGAUGUAUAGGGGCUGACGCCUGCCCGGUGCUGGAAGGUUAAGAGGAGUGGUUAGCUUCUGCGAAGCCACGAAUCGAAGCCCCAGUAAACGGCGGCCGUAACUAUAACGGUCCUAAGGUAGCGAAAUUCCUUGUCGGGUAAGUUCCGACCCGCACGAAAGGCGUAACGAUUUGGGCACUGUCUCAACGAGAGACUCGGUGAAAUCAUAGUACCUGUGAAGAUGCAGGUUACCCGCGACAGGACGGAAAGACCCCGUGGAGCUUUACUGUAGCCUGAUAUUGAAAUUCGGCACAGCUUGUACAGGAUAGGUAGGAGCCAUUGAAACGUGAGCGCUAGCUUACGUGGAGGCGUUGGUGGGAUACUACCCUAGCUGUGUUGGCUUUCUAACCCGCACCACUUAUCGUGGUGGGAGACAGUGUCAGGCGGGCAGUUUGACUGGGGCGGUCGCCUCCUAAAAGGUAACGGAGGCGCUCAAAGGUUCCCUCAGAAUGGUUGGAAAUCAUUCACAGAGUGUAAAGGCAUAAGGGAGCUUGACUGCGAGACCUACAAGUCGAGCAGGGUCGAAAGACGGACUUAGUGAUCCGGUGGUUCCGCAUGGAAGGGCCAUCGCUCAACGGAUAAAAGCUACCCCGGGGAUAACAGGCUUAUCUCCCCCAAGAGUUCACAUCGACGGGGAGGUUUGGCACCUCGAUGUCGGCUCAUCGCAUCCUGGGGCUGUAGUCGGUCCCAAGGGUUGGGCUGUUCGCCCAUUAAAGCGGUACGCGAGCUGGGUUCAGAACGUCGUGAGACAGUUCGGUCCCUAUCCGUCGUGGGCGUAGGAAAUUUGAGAGGAGCUGUCCUUAGUACGAGAGGACCGGGAUGGACAUACCUCUGGUGUACCAGUUGUCGUGCCAACGGCAUAGCUGGGUAGCUAUGUAUGGACGGGAUAAGUGCUGAAAGCAUCUAAGCAUGAAGCCCCCCUCAAGAUGAGAUUUCCCAACUUCGGUUAUAAGAUCCCUCGAAGAUGACGAGGUUAAUAGGUUCGAGGUGGAAGCGUGGUGACACGUGGAGCUGACGAAUACUAAUCGAUCGAAGACUUAAUC
rnacentral:rRNA from 1 species